AGAGUAGCCAAGGUGCGUUAAGUGUUGCGAAACGGGACGUUGUUCGCAAACGAAAGGGAUUUCCCUGCGGUGCCGCGGCGCGUCCGCU
rnacentral:ncRNA from 1 species